UACGAGGGGGGCGAGCGUUGUUCGGAAUUAUUGGGCGUAAAGGGUGCGUAGGCGGUUUGGUAAGUCUGAUGUGAAAUCUAUGGGCUCAACUCAUAGUCUGCAUCGGAAACUGCCGUGCUGGAGUGUGGGAGAGGUGAGUGGAAUUCCCGGUGUAGCGGUGAAAUGCGUAGAUAUCGUUUGGAACGCCAAUGGUGAAAACAGGUAACUGGGAGUGUGCCGACGCUGAGACACGAAAGCCAGGGGAGCGAACGGG
rnacentral:rRNA from 1 species